rnacentral:lncRNA from 1 species
UCCUUCAGCGCGGGUGCGCCAUGUAUAGCUUGAAUGGCAGCGCGGCUGCGCUGCUGCUGCACUUUGUCUUCUGCUGUCUUUUUGUUGUUGCUGUUUUUUGUUCUUCGUUUCCUCUCUUUUGCACUUCACCAUUUCAUUGAUCCUCCUCCUCACCUGCUCCAGUUCAACUGCCAUCUAUACUUUUGCUCAAGUCCACCUUGCCAUGUUCUUGCUAGUUCAAUGCCACUCCAUGC